AGCUUCCAGAGUCUCUGCCUUUGGGAUGCGUUUGGCUGAGAAGCUAGAAAGAGGUGAGGGCCUCCUCUCAGCUGUGCUCACUUAAUUGUCCCAAAAUCCACCAGCCCUCUCUUUCUUAAACAACCAAGAUGAUUCCCAACAAAGGCGACUACAGUAAAAUCUAAUUAAAGUCCAGGCCAGACAAAAAUGCAUAUUUUGGAUUACACAGCUUCCUUAGCUUUACACAGAGACAGAAGCAGAGACAUAGGCAGCACUCAACCCCUGAGCCACCCAGGUGCCCCCGCCCCCCCAGCUUAUUGGUCUUUCUGCUGGAGCCGUGGUUCUCAACCUUGCAGCACGCUGGGAUCGUCAGCCAGUUAAAUCAAUAGAGAGGGCCUGGAACAGAUUUCCACUUGGCUCCUGGGCUGGUGUAUUCAUUGGGUAAACAGAGGAUGGUAUGCAGAAUUCUGGAGACUGUGGAAGCCAAAAGAAUCAUCUCAUCUCCUGGGAACCAAUUAGGGUUCCUGAAUGGCAAACCUCUUGUGUGGGUUUUCUUUUUUUUCUUUUUGUUUUUGUUUUUAAAUAAAAAUCACAAAGCAUUCCGAAGAGGCA